rnacentral:rRNA from 1 species
AGUGAGCGCUGGCGGUAGGCCUAACACAUGCAAGUCGAACGGCAGCACAGUAAGAGCCUGCUCUUACGGGUGGCGAGUGGCGGACGGGUGAGGAAUACAUCGGAAUCUACUUUUUCGUGGGGGAUAACGUAGGGAAACUUACGCUAAUACCGCAUACGACCUACGGGUGAAAGCAGGGGAUCUUCGGACCUUGCGCGAUUGAAUGAGCCGAUGUCGGAUUAGCUAGUUGGCGGGGUAAAGGCCCACCAAGGCGACGAUCCGUAGCUGGUCUGAGAGGAUGAUCAGCCAAACUGGAACUGAGACACGGUCCAGACUCCUACGGGAGGCAGCAGUGGGGAAUAUUGGACAAUGGGCGCAAGCCUGAUCCAGCCAUACCGCGUGGGUGAAGAAGGCCUUCGGGUUGUAAAGCCCUUUUGUUGGGAAAGAAAAGCAGCAGGUUAAUACCCCGCUGUUCUGACGGUACCCAAAGAAUAAGCACCGGCUAACUUCGUG